rnacentral:rRNA from 1 species
UACGUAGGGGGCAAGCGUUGUCCGGAUUUAUUGGGCGUAAAGAGCUCGUAGGCGGUCUGUCGCGUCUGGUGUGAAAUCCCAUGGCUCAACUGUGGGCUUGCAUCGGGUACGGGCAGACUAGAGUGCUGUAGGGGAGACUGGAAUUCCUGGUGUAGCGGUGGAAUGCGCAGAUAUCAGGAAGAACACCAACGGCGAAGGCAGCUCGCUGGGACGGUACUGGACGCUGAGACGCGAAAGCGUGGGGAGCGAACAGG